GGGGAUGUGGCUCAAUGGUAGAGUGCUUGCCUCACAUGCAUGAAGUUUUGGGUUCAAUUCCUCAGUACCA
rfam:Dipodomys ordii contig_27210, whole genome shotgun sequence.